rnacentral:antisense_RNA from 1 species
GGGAGCUUGGAUGUGGAAGCUCUUUGGAAACCAAGAAACACUCUGCAAAUGAAAAGGGAAGCAGAAGUUCUCCUUAGCUGAUUUUUCUUCUUGCCUUAUACUGGGUUCUUUAACACCAGAACAAAAAUAAAUAAAUAAAAGAAUCUUCCAGAAAUUCAUGAAGAGACUUCAGGUCAGGAAAGCCUGAACUUUCUCAUCUAACACCUGUUCAAGUCGGAGGAUGCUGAUUAAUUCAUGAUGGAAAGGUAUCAAUUUCACAGCCCAGACUUCUACAUUCUUGAAAUGCUGUUCUCAUGGGAGACAUUAAAUAAGCUUUGAAAUAACUGUUUCCUUCUUACUACUCUAGAAAGUAUCAGGGCUGACUUUUGAUCACUCUUAUGGCUUGACUCAGAUCAUCUUCAUGGGUUUGAAUCAUUAUUCUGGCCAAAGGGUUGUAAUAUUGGCAGUAUCCAGGUCUGAGUCACAUGUUCAUCUCAGAAUCAGAUGGAAUGUACAGGGUGUACCAUGAACAAUUCUGACAUAUGAUUUAAUCUAUGUGUGACUACAUUUUAAAUACAUCUGGGAAGGAUUGAACAAUGAAGUGGAGCCCAUCAAUAUUGGUACUGAAAACGAGACAGACCUUGUAUUGAAGACAGCAUAACCCCCAAGAGGAAAGGAGCUUGGAGCCCUGAAUCAGAGUAGAAGACAGGCUGAACACCAGCCUUGGACUGUUGUGUGAAUGAAAAACAAGUUUUGAGAUUUGUGUGGUUUACUUAUUAUAGUUACUGUUAUUAUUAAAGUUUUUCACUGCUUU